GUAGGGAAUAUUGGGCAAUGGAGGCAACUCUGACCCAGCCAUGCCGCGUGCAGGAUGACGGCCCUCUGGGUUGUAAACUGCUUUUAUACGGGAAGAAAAAAUACUACGUGUAGUAUACUGACGGUACCGUAAGAAUAAGGAUCGGCUAACUCCGUGCCAGCAGCCGCGGUAAUACGGAGGAUCCAAGCGUUGUCCGGAGUUAUUGGGUUUAAAGGGUGCGUAGGCGGAUCUUUAAGUCAGUGGUGAAAGCCUGCAGCUUAACUGUAGAAUUGCCAUUGAAACUGAAGAUCUUGAAUGUGGUUAAAGUAGGCGGAAUGUAUCAUGUAGCGGUGAAAUGCUUAGAUAUGAUACAGAACACCGAUAGCGAAGGCAGCUUGCUGAACCAUUAUUGACGCUGAGGCACGAAAGCGUGGGGAGCGAACAGGAUUAGAUACCCUAGUAGUCC
rnacentral:rRNA from 1 species